rnacentral:rRNA from 1 species
AACGAACGCUGGCGGCGCGCCUAAUACAUGCAAGUCGAGCGAGAAGACGUAGCAAUACGUUUGUAAAGCGGCGAACGGGUGAGGAAUACAUGGGUAACCUACCCUCGAGUGGGGAAUAACUAGCCGAAAGGUUAGCUAAUACCGCGUACGCUCCUUGGACUUCGGUUCAGGGAGGAAAGCGGUACCGUGGGUAUCGCGCUCUUGGAUGGGCUCAUGUCCUAUCAGCUUGUUGGUGAGGAACGGCUCACCAAGGCUUCGACGGGUAGCUGGUCUGAGAGGACGAUCAGCCACACUGGCACUGCGACACGGGCCAGACUCCUACGGGAGGCAGCAGUAAGGAAUAUUGCGCAAUGGGCGAAAGCCCGACGCAGCGACGCCGCGUGGGGGAUGAAGGUCUUCGGAUU